CUAGUAAUCGCGAAUCAGAAUGUCGCGGUGAAUGCGUUCCCGGGUCUUGUACACACCGCCCGUCACACCAUGGAAGUUGGGGGUGCCCAAAGCCGGCAAGCAAAUAUGCUGUCUAAGGCAAAACCAAUGACUGGGGUGAAGUCGUAACAAGGUAUC
rnacentral:rRNA from 1 species